UACAGAGGGGGCAAGCGUUGUUCGGAAUUACUGGGCGUAAAGGGCGCGUAGGCGGCCGCCUAAGUCAGACGUGAAAUCCCUCGGCUCAACCGGGGAACUGCGUCUGAUACUGGGUGGCUUGAAUUCGGGAGAGGGAUGCGGAAUUCCAGGUGUAGCGGUGAAAUGCGUAGAUAUCUGGAGGAACACCGGUGGCGAAGGCGGCAUCCUGGGUCGGCAUUGACGCUGAGGAGCGAAAGCCAGGGGAGCAAACGGG
rnacentral:rRNA from 1 species